AUCCCAACUAGGAUCCCAGGCCCAUUGCCCUAACCAUUAAGCCAACACCAGGCAUAUACUAAGGAAAUACCUGCUCCAUUUAACAUCUUAUUAAUGAGAAUUGAACUUGCUUUGUGCUAUCGUGUUUGUCCUGACAUUCUCUCCUCCAGCUGCGUGAGGUGGCCACAAGGGUGGCAUCACUUGGAGCCUUCGAACAGAGUGGGAGUCGUGCUUUGGCAAGACUAGAGGCAGCUGUGGUGGCUGGCGACACUGAGUCUGUGACCGGUCUAGCCAGGCAACUCUUCAAGCACAGUGACGGCCUUGUGGAGGAAAGUAGAAAAUGAAUUGCUUUUAAAGUGUCAGAUCACAAGGCUCUGGAGGGAUUGCCUGUUGCCUGUAUUUCUGUGAUUAGAAAUUCAUUCAUUAGAUAAUGGUGAAACUCUGCAUGUUCAGUAGUUAGCAUCAGUGUGGUUUUAUUAAAAAAAUAGUUUUGGGUUUUAUCACAAAACAGUUUGUUGUCUGAAAUACCGCAGGUGUGUAAUUUGCUGCUAAAUGCAGCUGAAUCUGUUGCAGAGGAGGUCAGCUGUGCACACGCCCGAGAUCUUUUUGAUACCCUCACGGCACAGCUGGUGUCUGCUUGUCGACUGCGAGCUCAGUAUCCAUCAAGUGGAGAGGUUCUGGAACUGACUACUGCCUGCCACCAAGUCUGGGAGGCCGCUCGUGAGACUUUACCCUGCCUCCUGCAACCUACGCCACCUAUCGACUACGAGAGGGCGGCCGUGUCUGGACUGGUACAAGAUGUUCGUUUGGCUCGCGGCAGGCUUGGAGGAUGAAGGUGACCUGUGGGACACCAGUGGAGCUGCAGAGGAAGCGGUAGCUGAGCGGUCACGGGCUGUGUGCAACCUGGCCUGCGCACUUUGUUUGCAAUCAAGAGGGCAGUCAAAAAGUGAAGCUUUCCCUGAACUGCCUGUUCUUGCAAAGGCAUUUACAAAAGAGUGUCAGAGACUCUGCGAAACACUCACAACUCUAUCGACAAAGCUUGCAGGCCGCAAAGAGUGGACACGUGUCCUUGCUGAUCUGCGACGCGUACCGGGCGAGACCAGUGAGAACGAAUUGGAUGGUACCACGGAAAGCACAGAGGCAAUUCCGUCAUUGCAGGCUGCACGCCAGGCCCUGUCGGCUCUGCUGCCCGCCUUACGCCGGGCACGAACCUUGCAAGACCAGCUGGAGGGUCGCCUGCCAUGCCCCAGCUCUCCCCGGCCUGCGAGGAAAACUCAAGACUCCGUGGACUCGGCGACUGCUCUUCAUCACCACCGUGAACAGAAAGAUCAUCACAUCCGGCUUCAGGCCUCGUGAACUACCUUCAUACCACCGCAAGUUGUACUCCGGUGAUUUGAGGUGCUGCCCCAUUUUAUAAGAGUACGACGAUACUCUAUCCACCUGGAUUUUGAACAUUGCCUAGUGCACCGUCUGGGAUUCAAACAUGAAACACACACACACACACACACACACACACACACACACACACACACACACGCACACGCACACGCACACCUGCAACUGCUUUAUAAGGAUGAAGUCACUUCUUGUAUGUGAUUAUCAGGAAAGGAAAAAAGGUUCAAGAAGCAGUCGCUUCAGACACUGCGGUUAUAUAUUUUCUGGAAGCACCCUAAAAGCUUUUUGUUUAUUUUCUAAACAUAUGCAGCGAGAAUGUGUUUGUUUUCACCAAAAUAUGCAGAGACAAGGGUUCGUUAAUUCCUUACCAACAGUUCAUCUCGAGGCCACUGCGUGCGACGGAAAAAAAAAAAAAAAAAAAAAAAAAAAAGAGUCCACCAUGGAAGUGAAAUAAUUUCCCAGAACAACCUUUCACGUCUGAUAUGAUGAUAUCAAAACCAACGCAGUUAUUUUAAGGCUCACGAGGCCAAGGAACGGACACAACCAAAUGAACUGUGUAUUGUUAAUAUCUGGUAGCAUGUGCCCUUUGGCCUCACGGAGUGUUUUAACCCGUGAAGGCGUCCAAUUGAUGAUGUUUUGUAUUACAGCCUGAUGCAGAUUUUGCCAAAUGUUGAGUAGAUUUUUGUUGCAGCUCUUGCGUAUCACUUGACACAGGCCGGUUUUUCAGCGGCUCCCGAUCCAUGUUCCCAAACAUCUUUGAUGGCAUUCAUGUCAGGUGUACCAGCAAGGCAUUUUGCAGUAUGGAACACAUUUACUGCAGGGAGAUGCUGUCGUCGGGCAAGAACCACCCAUUCCUGGAAGAAACAAAGUGUGCCGCAGCUCAUUCCCCAGACAUAACGGAGUCUUGACAUGAACGCCAUCAAACACAUCCAGGAACAUGGAUGGACUGUCAUCUUGUGAUAACGAUGUAAGAUUGUGCAAUCAUUGCAUGACUCCCAUUUAUAUGCGUAAUUAUUUUCACAAAUAUAUAUUCAUUCAAAACACCAAGUGUCUUAUUCAUAUGCAAAGGUUGUCAUUGCAUGCGAGUGCGAUUUUUGUCCGGCAUCGGUGCUCAUUUGGCUGCAUGAAGUGGAAUUUUAUAUGUUUGGGAGUUCGGCUCAUGAAGGAUUUCAAUUGUUUCGUUCCAAUGACGACCUUCAUUGAUUGGCCAUGAUCAAUUUGAGGUGCCUGCCUGGUGGCUGCCCAAAGUAGGGCCUACGAUCAGGUUGCUGUGCAUAAUGUUUCGUUCAGCUGUGCAUUUGGUGAGUCCUUGGCGGAACUUUGUUGCUGUGCUUUGUUGAGAACCGAAUACCUUCAAGCAUUGAAUUUGCAAAGAGUAUAAUAUGAUUACUCUCUGAAUAUCAUUUGCUGUGUGCGUGCUGCAAUAAAGUACGAGAUGGAUAUGGUGUACUCAUGUCUUUUCUUUCUUCUCACCACAAGUUGCCUUGAGGGGACGAUGGCGGAGCUUCUCUUUCAACUGCUACAGUAUGGCUGACUAUAGCCGAGAGGUACGCAUACUCACCUCGAAGCUGUCUCGCCUGGAAAUCCCGAC
rnacentral:lncRNA from 1 species